rnacentral:rRNA from 1 species
UCAUUAGAUACCCCGGUAGUCCACACUGUAAACGAUGGAUACUAGGUGUAGGGUGUAUUAAGCACUCUGUGCCGCCGCAAACGCAUUAAGUAUCCCACCUGGGGAGUACGACCGCAAGGUUGAAACUCAAAGGAAUUGACGCAAGGGGGCGCGGCCGAAGGUGGGUUCGAUAAUUGGGGUGAAGUCGUAACAAGGUACC